GUAUCCCAAGGAUAAAUUCAAGAACAAGUGGGAUGCCAUAAAAAAUGAGUACACUUGGUUCAUGGAGUUGAAAAAUGAAGCAACUGGGCUUGGAUGGGAUGAUGCAAAGAGAAUCGUUGAUUGCUCUAAAGAAUGGUGGGAUGAACAUAUCAAGAGAUGCCAAGAGAGUACAGGAAAGAAAUGCAAUCAUAUGAAGUUCAAAAAACAGGGACCAAAGCACCUUGAAGAUUUGCACAUCAUAUUU